AGAGUUUGAUCAUGGCUCAGGACGAACGCUGGCGGCGUGCCUAACACAUGCAAGUCGAACGGGGUGAGGCCCUUCGGGACCUUUACCUAGUGGCGAACGGGUGAGUAACGCGUGAGGAACCUGCCUUUCAGUGGGGGACAACAGUUGGAAACGACUGCUAAUACCGCAUGAAGCUUUUGGGAGACAUCUCCUGGAAGCCAAAGCUUAAUGUGCUGAAAGAUGGCCUCGCGUCUGAUUAGCUAGUUGGUGGGGUAACGGCCCACCAAGGCGACGAUCAGUAGCCGGUCUGAGAGGAUGAACGGCCACAUUGGGACUGAGAUACGGCCCAGACUCCUACGGGAGGCAGCAGUGGGGAAUAUUGGGCAAUGGGCGAAAGCCUGACCCAGCAACGCCGCGUGAAGGAAGAAGGCCUUCGGGUUGUAAACUUCUUUUACCAGGGACGAAGGACGUGACGGUACCUGGAGAAAAAGCAACGGCUAUCUACGUGCCAGCAGCCGCGGUAAUACGUAGGUUGCAAGCGUUGUCCGGAUUUACUGGGUGUAAAGGGCGUGUAGGCGGAGAUGCAAGUUAGGAGUGAAAUCUAUGGGCUCAACCCAUAAACUGCUUCUAAAACUGUAUCCCUUGAGUAUCGGAGAGGCAAGCGGAAUUCCUAGUGUAGCGGUGAAAUGCGUAGAUAUUAGGAGGAACACCAGUGGCGAAGGCGGCUUGCUGGACGACAACUGACGCUGAGGCGCGAAAGCGUGGGGAGCAAACAGGAUUAGAUACCCUGGUAGUCCACGCUGUAAACGAUGAAUACUAGGUGUGGGGGGACUGACCCCCUCCGUGCCGCAGUUAACACAAUAAGUAUUCCACCUGGGGAGUACGACCGCAAGGUUGAAACUCAAAGGAAUUGACGGGGGCCCGCACAAGCAGUGGAUUAUGUGGUUUAAUUCGACGCAACGCGAAGAACCUUACCAGGACUUGACAUCCAACUAACGAAGUAGAGAUACAUCAGGUGCCCUUCGGGGAAAGUUGAGACAGGUGGUGCAUGGUUGUCGUCAGCUCGUGUCGUGAGAUGUUGGGUUAAGUCCCGCAACGAGCGCAACCCCCAUUGUUAGUUGCUACGAAAGAGCACUCUAGCGAGACUGCCGUUGACAAAACGGAGGAAGGCGGGGACGACGUCAAAUCAUCAUGCCCCUUAUGUCCUGGGCUACACACGUAAUACAAUGGUGGCCAACAGAGGGAAGCGAAGCCGUGAGGCGGAGCAAAUCCCUAAAAGCCAUC
rnacentral:rRNA from 1 species